rnacentral:sRNA from 1 species
CCCCCGCUAGUAGACGGAUCUGAUUGUCUUGGCUUGAUGAGCGUACAUCGAAUACUUGGAUGAAUGUUAUGCGAAGAGAGUUCUUUGUCGUUCCCCACAGACGGCGCCAAUUGUUGAACCAAGGAUUCACACAAUAGAUUUGUUUAGAGAGGGAAAACAAAUCUAGUAAUUUCUCUUCAUUAGGUAUUCUAUCCAAGACUCGAUUACAAAACAUGUUCUAAUCUCUUAUGAAAUACAUUAGGGUUUUGCUCAAGAACAGAAAAAGAGUUAGGGUUUUAAAAAGGUAUAGCUGCAUCCAUGAUGGAUUGCCUACGUACCCUGUGAAGGGAUCAAGCCAUUCGUAGUUCUCAAUAGGUAUAAAGUUAUGUGUUUCUUCUCCGUAUCCAAAGAUCUCCCUUUUGUGAAGUCCCUGAGGCACUUUAUAUAGGAUCCUUAAACCGCCCCCCUAGCGAUAUUUUUCGGAAGAUUCUUAUUUAUCUUUAGGUCGGUUCUAGAGGAUAAUCGUCCUAAGGAUAUUCUCCUUAUUCUUCGGAGGUUUUGGGGAGAUUUCCUGAUUUCAACAUUAUCUUCAAAGAUUCUCCUUUAUCAUUUCCGAAAGUCCCAUAAAAGAUCCCAUUUUACCGGAAAUGAUCCUUGGAGAAUGAAUGGUUUUUACAAGUCUUUGCCUCGCGUGUUCUUCACGGCUCGGUGGUCGUUUGAGAGGUGGCUUCGGGGCAAACGGUAUGUACCGGCUCGGGGCGCGCUUGAUGACUCCAUUAAGCUCAGUUGGCUGUCUCCCGAGCCGAUAUAGAUGUUUCCCGCAGCGUUCUCACGAUUGGCUCGGGCUGUGUUCAUAUGACUAACACCCGAGCCAUUUUACAAACUCUCUUCGGGACGGUCGAUCGAAUAAGGUCCCGAGGUGCUUUGUUCUAGGCUAGGGGCCAUUCAUAUGUUUAACCAUGAGGUGAUUGUUAUUCUUAGACUAUUUGGCUCGGUCUUGCUUGUGGGGGAAUCCGACCCCAACAGAGUCUUGAUUAAAUAAGUCAAGCUAAACAAGUU